rnacentral:lncRNA from 1 species
AUAUAUAUAUAUAUAUAUAUAUAUAUAUAUAUAUAUAUAUAUAUAAGUGAAAAACCGGGCGGUAUUAUUCGAAAUUGAAAAUCUUGUGUUGAUCUACCUUAGAUCUGCAUAGUUAUAGGUCAAAUUUGCACUGAUCUAGUUGGAUCCUUUUAGCCUACACUUAAGCAAAUUUAGACUGGAUUCGUGAGGAUAUCGGACGGAUCCAAAGUGAUAUCCUUCGGAUCUGAACUUCUCUGGCUUGGAUGAGAUAAAUCCAAGGUCUUUAAUUUCAAAUAAUACCGCCCGUACUGGCCGGUAUGUACCGGUCCACCAGCAGAUUAGUACACGGACUGCCCACUACCGGGCGGUACCGUCGAUUCAGCUGUUUCCACCCCGUUAUUGUCUUAAAUCGGCGGUGAUCGAGGGAGAAGAAAGAAGAGGGGUGUGACCGAGAGAGAAGAAAGAAGAGGGAGAAGGGGAAGAAAGAAAAGGGAGAAGAAGAGGAGUACCUGCACCGCUCUCCCUCCUCGUCUCUCGGCGACUUCUCAUCCGCGCAAGGAGAAGAGAGGCGAUGUCGCCUUGGCGGGUUUUUUUUUCACUUAUAUAUAUAUGUAUGUAUAUACCCGUACCGUACUGAGCGAAUCUCGAAACUCCGGUACGAUAUGAAAUUUUAAUCAUUGGAUAAAUCUAUAUUAGAUUUGUGUAGAUUCGAGUUGGAGUGAGAUAUAUCUAUGGUAGAAACUAACAUAGUAGAAAUGCAUAGGUUUAGAAGUAAUCGAUGCAUGCAACCAUGAUCUUAAGAUGAGAAAACCUUAAAACAAAGCUUCAAUCAACAAAAGAUAAUAUAAAAAUUGAAAUUUAUUUUCAGAAUUGCCUUGUUUUAAAGCGAAACACUCCUAUUUUCAGGAGUUUGAUUCUUGAUUUGCUAAGAUAUGAGGAAUGCUGAGAGCUUUAGAAUUGAAAUCGAGAGAUUUUAAGAGAUUGAGUUAAAGAGAACAAAGGAAGUUCGGUAGGGAGGGUAGAAGAAAGUGGUUUAAUUUAGGUCAGUGAACCAGUCAAAUAUCGACUUGACCGCUCACAUGGAAUAUGUACUGGCUAGUACACCUUGUACUGGACCAGGUGAAAUUGCCCUGUAUACAAGUCAGGUAUCAGAAAAAUAUGUAUCGGUUUGUAUGGACUGGUAGGGUUGAUAUUUCGAACCAUUCUUUAAAAGUCCUACACAAAUGAUGCUUUAUUCGUAGUUUGUACCAUUAUUAGGGGAACCUUUUAUAGAAACAUUUAAUUCUUGUUCAUUGUCACUUUGUAACACCUAUGUUACUUUCUUCCUUAUUUCUAACAACCACAAAUUGGCUUUAAUACUUGUUCAGGUAUCAUGUUACCAACUUUUUUGCACCCAGCAGCCGUUUUGGAACCCCAGAUGAACUGAAGUCCUUGAUUGACAGAGCUCAUGAGCUAGGUCUUCUUGUUCUCAUGGAUAUUGUUCACAGGUGACUAUUGAAGUAUAUAGCAAUGGUAAUUAGUAUACUAUAAAUAAAAAUAUGGGAAUCCAUUAUUUUUGUGUUUUUGGUGUAUUUUCCUUUUCUGGUUAAGAUUUACACUUGUGCAUAAUGUUAGUUCUCAGUUUUCAUAUGCAUAUGCUUCCGUAUUUAUGUAUUAGCUUUAUUUGAGUUUUUCUUAGAGUUCUUUAGGCUAUUGGAUUUCUAAAGUUCAUUAUGUCCACAAGAAUCACAUUAUUGCUAAUUAGUUAAAAUUAGAUUGUCAUGUAUCAUUAUGUUGGCAGAAUGAUAACACUGACGAAGGUUAAAUAAAUGUAGUUGCUAGUUGAGAGUCAAUCUUAACAAACCUCUGAUAGGACUAGUGAAGUAAUUGAAAUAAAGUAAAGAUCUUGAAGCAGCGUUUGGAUCAAAGUCAUCUGAGAAGUCCUUGCCAGAAUUUUUCCUAAUAGUGGAUUCUUUUAUGAGUCAGGUUGUUCUACAAAAAGAGUUUAGUAGUUAGUGUUAUGGCAUGGCCGGCAUGCACAUGCACAUUGAAAUAUGAAUGCAUACUGCAAUAAGGAAAAUCCCAAUUUGGUCAGAAUUUUGUCAAUUACAUGAAAUUGAUGCUUUACAACUGAUGAUUUGUAAAUUAAGCUCCUUUACAAACGAUGUGUAAUGUGUUAUCCCUUGUAAAACGGUUGUCAGUGUUGGUUUUCAUACUAGUCCAGUGGUUAUAUCAUUCUAACUCCAAUUGCAUCUCAAGAGAAAAAAAAGGUCAGUUGCGGUUGAAAAUAGAUCAAGAGAAAGUUAUGCCAAUAUUCCAAUUAUAAGCUUAGGCAACUUUUAAAGCAUAUUAUUGUAUCAUGUUAUAUAACCUUGAAUGCUUAGACUGAUGAUAUCUAAUGUCUUGAAGAAGGCUGAAAAAAUGUAAUUGGUAAAUUGCAUAUAUUGCCUUAUCAACAAUAUUAUAAAAAUGUAAUUGGUAAAUUGGAUUCUGGAAGUUCAUCCAUGAGUGCAGGAGAUUGUCAUGUAUAAGUGGCUUUCAAGGGCCUUUUGCCUUUUAUGAGCUGUUCUUCCUGGUGAUUGGAAUUUUACUCCUACAAAUGAAUUUUUUUGUUUACUUAAGUUAGAGUCUCACCAGAUGGAGAAAAUAUACUUACUAUGAUAUUAAACAAGAUUCUAAAUUUAGUCAUUUGAGAAAAUUGCUUUUACCUUUUUGUUCCACUGGAGUCAUUUUCAUAUUCCACAGGAAAGCUGUUUAAGUUAUCCAAUCCUUGCACUUGAAAUAUGGUGUGCAGAAGAGAGAUGUGGACUGCCUUCUGAUGGUUGUUAUGUAGUUGUUUGGUGCUUCAACCUUUCUGUCUGCUAUGUUCUUGGCUAGACAUGUUGAUGCUUGGUAUGCCUAUACUAUUUUGUCUAAAAGGACUAGAAGUAUCUGAUACAUGAUACAAAGUGAUUAUAUGUACACAUUCAUGUGUUUGCAACCUUUUCUUCACUUGUCUAUCUCUGUAAGCAUACGUAUAUUUGUCAACAUCUGUCAACAUCUGGCAUAAGCACAACUUACUUUUUUAUAUCUUUGUAUCUUUGUUUGUAAUACAAUUUGAGAAAUACACCAUUUGUUCUAAACUUGUUAUUUCUUUUAUCCAGUCAUGCAUCAAACAAUGUACUUGAUGGACUGAAUCAGUUUGAUGGUACUGACUCACACUAUUUCCAUCCUGGCCCACGGGGCCAUCACUGGAUGUGGGAUUCUCGCCUUUUCAACUAUGGAAGUUGGGAAGUACGAAAAAUUUCAAUUCCAUACACUUAUGUUGCUUCUUUAAAAUUAAUAAUUUUCACCUUCUUGUCUUCCUUUAUCUAGGUUUUAAGGUUUCUAUUAUCAAAUGCAAGAUGGUGGCUGGAGGAGUACAAGUUUGAUGGGUUUAGAUUUGAUGGUGUGACCUCAAUGAUGUACAUCCAUCACGGACUUGCGGUUAGUUGAUUCUUUGUCAACUUUGGAAAAUACUUAUUUCUAUACAAUAUGAUUCUGGUUGAUUUUCUUUAAUAUGCAGUGCUGCUACAACCUUUUGGGACCUUGUUGAUGUUUAAAGUCAUAUGAUAGAGUUCCUCAAUCAUGUACAAGUUUGAUAGGUUUAGAUUUGAUGGUUUGACCACAAUGAUGAAUACUGAUCAUGGACUAAUGAUUAUCAUGGUGGGUUUUAGAAAAUAAAGGUAUAUCUACUAAUUAUAUUGAUAUUAUAAAAAGACAUGUAUGACUAUUAAGUCUCAAAAGGUUAAAAAUACAUAGAGUGUCUAAUGAGUUUACUAUUUUUAGUAUAGGACUACAUCAAGAAUCCGCAUUAAAUCCUUAUCUUUUCAUAUUAGUAAUGGAUAAACUGAUCGGUCAUGGCCUGGAUAUACAUUAUUGGUGUCUUUUAUUUGCUAAUGAUAUUGUCUUAGUUGAGGAUAAUUUAGAUAGAAUUAAUUCUAAACUUGGGUUACAUAGACAAACGUUAAAAACUAAAAGUCUUAAAUUGAGUAGGAAUGAGACUAGAUAUCUGAGAUGUAAUUUUAAUAAUAAAGUUCUAUUAAGUAAAAGCUCUAUGUAUCUUAGAUCAAUUAUUCAACAAGAUAAAUAUAUAGAUAAAGUAGAGUAAAAUCUAGAUGGUUAAAAAUUAAAAUAGAGAGGAGCAUCAAGACUUCAAUGGAUAUGAGUAUUAGAUUUAGAUGGUUAAGAAAUAACAUAUAAAAAAGUUUGUCGUAAAAUAUUAAUGUGGAUGUAGGGAGUUAUUAGGAAAGAUAGAAAAAAAUGUUUUAUUCAUGAACAAGAAUUGUUUAAGAUGAUAUGAACUUGUACCCAAGAGACCUAUAGAUGUAAAGAUGUAAAACAAUUAAUAUUACUCAUACGAUAAAAAGGUAGAGUGAGACCUAAAUAUCUUAUUAGAAACUAUAAUUAAAUUUUUGAUAUUUUUAAUUUAAUUAAGAAUAUGAUUUUUUACAGGGUUCAAUGGCUAUAAAGAUCCAUGUAGGUGAUCCCAAAUAGGUGGGAUAUUAUGGCUUUAUUAUUCUUGUUGUUGAUGUUUAAAGCUCGUAUUAUAAAUAUGUUCAUAAUUCAGGGGUUAUGGUUUUACAGCCUUGUAAAUGUUGCUGAAGCUGCUUGGCAACUAACCAUUUUUAUCUACAUUACUCUGUUGAGGAGAAGCUCUAUCUAGGAAUUCUCUGAUAUUGAAUUAUUUUAACAUUUAAUAAUCUUCUUUUAUGUUGAUCUUUUGUUCUUUGCUUAAUUCAGGUGGGUUUUACUGGGAAUUACAAUGAAUACUUUGGGUAUGCUACUGAUGUGGAUGCAGUGGUCUACUUGAUGCUUGUAAAUGAAAUGAUCCAUGGGCUUUAUCCAGAGGCUGUUACUAUCGGUGAAGAUGUAAGUGGAACAUCUGUUUAUUUGUUUUAGUGUUUCUGCACUGAAAAAAUUAAUGAAAUAUAAUCAGGAAAACACAGAUAAAACCCAAAUUUCAUUGACUAGCAUUUGAAUAUGAAAAUUGAUAUGGAGGCACUGAAUUGUAGCCCACUUUUAUCAUAAUAGAAAAACGGCAUCUGCAUGAGAAGCCUUUUCUUGUAUAUGUUUCAUUGAAAAAUAGAUGUCUUGAAAUAUUCUAAUAGUUGCCUACUGUAAGGUCGGAAAUUUUGGACACUACAUAAUAAGAAACUUGCAGUUAUUUUCAGUGUUCUAAUUUGAUUGAACAAGGUUGUGGUAUACGCAUAUAGACAUGGUGUUCUAGUGUUGCAGAAGAAAGUGGAAAAUGAGAUGUUAUGUUCUUUACAACUGGGUUUUCUAAACCUCUCUGAUGUGAGAUCUAAGUGAUAAUAAAUCUUAACAUUAUCUGCAGUUCUCAAGACCUGCUGCAGUGUGUCAGAUGAAAGAUAAGUGCACAAAGGUUUAUAGGUUCUCGUGUCGCUAUGUGAGCAGUUUUUUUAAUAAAGUGCACCGAGUGCAUGAAGCUGGUACCACUGUGGUUUUUUUUCCAUGAUCUAAACUUAGGAUGUUUAGGUCUCAAUAAAGCAUUCUUACUGCCCUAUGAAGGCCUAACCUCACAAUACAUCUGCAGCAUUGACUAAAUUAAGGUUGACUCAAUGGCCAAAAUGUUAUUUAUAAUCAAGCAUAAGAAAUGAAAAAAAUAAUACUAAUACUGUCACAUGAGAAGUUUAUUGAAGUUGAGGUGUCAUUUAUAUCGAUCCUAAUCUUAUUCGUUUAAUAGGCCUACAAAAUAAUAACAUGGGAAGGUGAAUUGAAGUAACUUCUGUCAAUCAAGUAUAAUGGCAAUGAAUGCAGCAAAUUUUAUUUGUAAAAUUUUACUGUAGUAUUGAGCUCUUAUUGUUGAGGCAAAGGACCCCAUAAUAAUUACAUAUAUAUAUAUAUAUAUAUGUAUAUAUAUAUAUAUAUAUGUAUAUAUAUAUAUAUAUAUAUGUAUAUAUGUAUAUAUAUAUGUAUAUAUAUAUAUAUAUGUAUGUAUAUAUGUAUAUAUAUAUAUAUGUAUAUAUGUAUAUGUAUAUAUGUAUAUAUAUAUGUAUAUAUAUAUAUGUAUAUAUAUAUAUAUGUAUAUAUAUAUAUGUAUAUAUAUAUAUAUGUAUAUAUAUAUGUAUAUUUCUUUCAUUAUUUGGAAACCCAAGUUGUUUUAGAAUGUAAUGAAUAUUGAGAAACUUAACCUUACUCUUACAUGGCAAUUGUUGGAAGAAGAAAAAAAAUUAGUAAUUCUGUUUUAUCACAUAUUUUGUGACAGCAAAGUACCACGCAUUUUUCUGAUGCCAUGGAGUUGUUUAAGUGUACACUUAAUCAGGCUUGAGUUUCAUUAGAUAUAUUAAUGUUUUCCUACUUUGAGAAAUUCUCAUACAAUCGUAUCAAUUUUUCAUUGCUUUUCUAGAUGAUCUGAAAUGUUGUGUUUGAUGUGCCCUAAUCCUAGUGGAAGUUCAGUUGUUAGAAAAACAAUAUUUUAUUAUCUGGACUAUUUUUGGGUUCCAUGGGGUUUUAAAGUCUUAGUUUGGUAGGAGACAAGCGUCUUUUGGUUAGUAUAUGUAGUGGGAUAAUCAUAGGUUAAAAUAUACGAAGAAUGGUGCUGUUUGGAAUUAAAAUGUGUGUGCGAGUGUGGGUUUUUUUAUUUUAGUGAUGAUCUUUUGCCUUGGCUCUUACUUCUUUAUAUUCCUUUUUCAAUAUCUCUUCCACCUUUUAAAAUCUUCUUUUUUCUUUUUUUAGAAGCUUAUAUUAUAUUCUGCACUGCAGAUUAUUUCCUUUUUUUUGUAAGCUUAGAAUAUGCAGAUCAUUUGCUGUUUUACCCCUUUCUGUUAACAUUCCCUUUUGGACAGUCAGCUUUAUUUUGUUUUCACAUGAUCUGUCCUACACUGCUGCAGUAUAUUUUAGCAACAUCUCUAUUAAUUAUGGGAUUGAAGCUCAUUGAUCCCACAGGAGACAACAUUUGCAAAUGCACAAUUUGAUGUCUUAUCUAGAUCUAUAAGAACAACUAAAAGAGUAAAAUAGUUUAGGCCUUCAGUGCAUUAAUUUCAAUACCCAAUGUGCUAGAUUGGAGAAGAAUAUGGAUGCAGGGUGCCCUCAAAAGACAGAAUAGUCACAAUGUUAGAGUGAUAUGCCUAGAAUCCCAAGAUGAUGUUGCUGAAAAUGGAGAAGCUCUGGAUGAAUAGGAUUCUGAAGAGGAAUAGGAUGAUGAUAAUGAAGGUGAAGGCUGAAGAAUUAAUAAAUUAAGGGGAUCUGGUGACAAAUGAAGAAUUUGGAUGUUCCAAAGUUCAUCAUUGUGCAAGGGUUAUUGUAGAGCAGUGAAUGAAGCAAUUUACAUGAAUUUUUAAUUACUUUUGCAGGUCCCUCGAUCAACAAAAUGUAAUGGUUACUAGUACAAUUAUUGGUCAAGAUAUUUUUAGUUAAAAAUUCAAGAAAUCUGGUUAUGAAAAAUAUAAUUCAAGUAAGCCUGUAAUGGACCUUCAUCACCAAAUCUUCUCGCCGAAGCAAUUUGAGUCUUAUUUCACUGGAAACACCUUAUGAUGUCAUGGUUCUCUAGGCUUUGAACUGAUACAGCUGAGCAGCCCUAAGUCCAUGUUUAGUCAAAUUUGAGUUUAAUGAUAAGGUGAGUUUUUCUACAUUUCAUGGAUCUACAGAUCUUUGUACUAACUUUUAUACUCUAUACUGACAUGCCUACAGCACUGUAUUUGAAUUUCCUCUAUAACCGUAAUAGAACUCCUACUGAUAGAGAAACAAGUUGUUAUCUGAAUUAGUCUUAGGAGUCCUAGGGGCUGUGGUUCUAGUUUAGGUAUAAGACGAUGGUCUUCCAUUCUGUUCAUUUAAAGAUGACUGCCAGACGUGAGAACUAGGUUGUACAUUGUCUUAUGAUGAAAAAACUCUAGUUGUCUUUGGCUGGUUAUCCUUGCCUCUUUCUCUACCCUACUCAACUCUCUCUCUCUCUCUCUCUCUCUCUCUCUCUCUCUCUCUCUCUCUCUCUCUCUUUAAUAUCUCAUUUUUCUUCCUUUCUUUCUUAUGAGCUUUAUUUUGCUAUUUCUCUAUAGCAUAUUGUAUCUGCAUCAAAGUAUUUGUUGUUUCCCUCAUGUCUUGCAGUUACUCCAAGUAGCAAGUGGUUUAAUGCUUCUUCUAUGCCACAGCAGACAUAUUCUGCCUCAAAUAACAAACUGGUUGCAGUAGUUCUGUAUUCCCAUCAAUUGUACUCUAGUUGCUUUAGCUACAUCUGUUGGACCUGUUCAAAUCAUGGUUGUUCAACCAGUUACUUGAACAACAUAAACACUUUUGUUUCCUUCUGUUAUAUUUUCUUUAAUGUUACUUCGAAAGUUGUUUGGAACUUUGGAUAUCCUAGAACAUAAUGAAAUUUUGAUUUAAGAUCAUCCAUAAUGUUUUAAGUGAUUCAGAUAUUUUUCUAUUCACGACUUAGGGACUACCUGUAUUGCUUUCAUUGGCAUUGCAUAAUGUCUGCAUUAACUCUAACAAUUUACUUAAAUAGGUAAGUGGUAUGCCGACUUUCUGCAUCCCUAUUCGAGAUGGUGGUAUUGGGUUUGACUAUCGCCUUCAUAUGGCUAUUCCAGAUAAAUGGAUUGAAAUUAUGAAGUAUGUUACUUUGGAAAUCUCUAUUUAGUUUUUGAAAUGCAUGUUCAAAUAUAAUUUCUUUGCCUUUGUUAUUUCAUGUCUAGUUGCACUAUGCUGUUCAUUAGGAAGCUGAUAGUUGAUACUGUCAGGCUACAGUGGUGACUUACUUUAUAGUCCAAGAAAUAAGUUAAUUUGUGAUGCAGCCUAAAAUAUCAGAUGAUACGUUAUACUAAGUCCAUAUAAUUUUUAAAUAAAAAAUAGGCAAGGUCCACUGACCAUGACACGCAUAUUCUGCAAAACAAAUUUAUGGAAGGAAUAGGACUUUUCUUUGUCUAGUUUAUGUCAAUCACAUUUUUAACAUUUUUGGUCAAUUUUCAUUGCACCUGAAUAGUUUUCUAACACAUCUUAAACAAAUUUUGAGAAUAAGCUCAACUAUUUUGAGUUAUUGCACCACAAAAUGCUCGAGUAUUUGUCCAAGCUCUCAUGAAAGCAAAAAAUCCAUGUAACCGAACUUAAAUUAGUUGGGGCAUUUGUUAUUGUUGUUUCUGUCCAAGGAUAUUACUUUUGUUGUUGACUUAAUUUUUACUGUACCUAUGUGCACUAGUUACUAGGGCCAGCUUUGAAGCAAUCUCUAAUUUUUCAGUUUUAUACUAAUAUGCUACAUACAUGAGAAAGACAAACUUUAACAAUUCAAUUAAUUCUCGUGGUUAGAAGUCCUAUAUCAAUUUUACUGCCCUGUGCUGUGGCUUUUAGUAUGCAACUUUGGGUUGUCCUACUCCUAUAUCACAACAGAACUUAUUUUUUUAUGAUUAAGAUAUUUUAACAAGUUUAAGUAACGUAUUUGAGGGCGGAAAGUGACUUCUGUUGUGAUUUGUUUAGGUUAAAUGAUGAAGACUGGAAGAUGGGCGAAAUUGUUAGCACUCUCACCAACAGGAGGUGGCUAGAAAAAUGUGUGGCUUAUGCUGAGAGCCAUGACCAAGCUCUUGUUGGUGACAAGACAAUAGCAUUUUGGCUAAUGGACAAGGUUCUUAAAAAAUUUCCUUAACAGCAUUGUGGCAUGUCUAUUAUGGGAUUUAAAACGAAGGCAUAACAAGAAUAUCUUUUCUGUCUGCAAUAUGGUGUGCUUCUGGUUUCUAGGUUGUGUGCAGAUAUAGAUGAACUAACUCCAGUUCAUUUAGAAAUCUACUUACACGAAUAUCCCAACUGUGCUUAAUUACAAUUAAUUGACUGUAUAGCAAGUUGCUUAAUUAUUUAUUGAGAUUUCAUCAUCCUUAAAGCUGCAAACAUUGGAAGUGGAACAAGUGUGGUGGUAAGCAGACUGAGCAACUUUUCACAUUUUUGAUGACAAGAUAUCACUGAUGAUGAGCAUUGCACAUUUUUCUGAUAGUAAAGUAGGAGCAGCCUUACCAAAAAUUGGCCAACUUCAGCCUUUAGAUAGUUUAGAGAAAUUAUUUGUUUUUUGUAUCAACACGAGUGUUAUUUAAAAUUAUGGAUAUCAUCCUUGAUAUAAAAUUAUCUUUUCCCCAGUACUUAAUCAAUGUUGUUCCUUGGUAUUGGAUGUUACUAAAAUCUGGCCAACGUUGUUUUUUUUAAUAUAUUAUUAAAUAUUAAUUUUUCACUCUAUAUGGUGUUACCUUGAUAUUUGUUACAACUAUUUAAUAAGAAGCCCAAUCAUACACAUAUCAUGGUUUCAUGUUCAUGUUCUUAAUGGCAUGCAAAAUUUCUUAAAAAUCAAAGGUAGUCCAUGAUUAUGUAUGAUUAGACCUAUUUUUUAUAAAGUUGAUUCCAUAAUUGUGGACUGUUGACUGAGCUGCUCCUGGCUUUCACAGUUAUCAUGCAGGUGGUAAACAAAGACUGUUCUUAGCAGUUACUGUUUAUAAAGGUAGUCCAUGAUUAUGUAUGAUUAGACCUAUUUUUGAUAAAGUUGAUUCCAUUUUGCUUUUAUCAAAUAUGAUGAAGCAAUACUUUGUCCUGAAAUAUCAAAGAACAAGAUGACAAAGAAUCAUUGAAGCAGUACGUACUUCUUGGUAUACAUUGGCCUGUCCAAGGAUCGGUUCUGGACCAUAUAGUUGGUACCGGUAAACAUUCAAAUUUCUAUUAUAUCCCCAGUGAUACUGAGCACUAUGAGUUGGCAUUGCUUCUGUUAUUCCAGUAUUGUACCAGUCUAACUUGUUACUAGAGACGGUAUUGAAUAAGAUUUAAAUCCUUGCAAGAGGAUAAUUAUUAACUAAUGUAAAAGAUUCAUAAAAUAUUGUUCUGGCCACAAGUAUAUAUAUAUAUAUAUAUAUAUAUAUGUUUAUAUGUAUGUAUAUGUAUAUGUAUGUAUAUGUAUAUUAUAUGCAUGUUUGUAUAUAUAUAUUGUGUGUGUGGGUGUUUAUUUAUAUUCUGUUUUCUAUAUUGUUAACUUUGAGCUUCUAUAGUGUAUAAUCCUUUCGUUUGUUCUUGUUCUUCCAUUUGUCAAUGGGUGCAUCAUUUAUUUUUGUUAUGUUCUGUUGUUACUUGAUGUGCUGUACAUGAAAAUUGUCUGAAAUUAUCGUGUUUGGCAAAACAAAACUACAGUGGAAUUCUGUGCACUGAGUUCCCUGCUAUAACUCAUGUAGGAUAUGUAUGACUUCAUGGCACUGGAUAGACCAUCAACUCCCAGGAUUGAUCGUGGAAUAGCACUUCACAAAAUGAUUAGACUAGUCACAAUGGGUUUAGGUGGUGAAGGAUAUCUUAACUUUAUGGGAAAUGAAUUUGGGCACCCAGGUAAAACACGCCACAUUGGGUAACUGAUGCUUAAAAUCGAGCUUAUGUGACAUUAUAUGUGUUAGAAACUUUAGGCAUAACACUGAUUGACAUGAUUUUUUUCUUCAAUUUUACUUUUCUUGCAGAAUGGAUAGAUUUUCCAAGAGGUGUUCAACAUCUUCCAAAUGGAAAGGUUAUACCAGGAAACAAUAAUAGUUAUGAUAAAUGCCGUCGAAUGUUUGAUCUAGUAAGUUAGGAAGGUGGUAUCAUUUAUUUUGCAUUUCUAUUCAUGGUAUUUCAUUUAUUUUAAGUGCCUAGAGAAUAAGAACAGAUAAACAUUUCUAUUCAUGAUAUUAAUUUAUUGUGACUACUUAUACACAAGUGCCUAGAAAAUAAUUAAUAAAUGUUAAACUUAAUUAAGGCAUUAAACCAUGCCAUGCCAUUUUGUCGGCAGUUGGAACCUAGGUAUGUUUGUUAUACACAAGCUGUUGCUCGCUCAUUAAUGAAUCAUGCAGUUCAUAACCAUUAUGUAACUUGAAUCAUAAAUGGAAAUACUAGUAUGUUUUCACAUCUAUGCAUGAAGCUAUUCUUUAAAAGUUGUGUCAAGCUGUUGCUGGCUCAUUAACUGAAAUAUCACUGGACUCAUUAAUUGAAAUGUGAAAUCUUAAUAGUUUGUUACCCUCGUGUUUAUCAGGACAAACAAACUUUGUUCUGAUGCCUGUAAUUGCUUUUACAAACUUUCUGAAAUAUAUAGCAGUUGGGAGAAACAAGUUACAAGCUGAUGAAACCUUAAUCAACUUUGAAAGAAAAUGCAUACUGAACUUUACAAAUUAGGUUCAAAUUCAAACUGCUGUCUUAGAUCUAAAGAAAUUUAUAUGCUUUUAAAGUUUUCCCAUAAAUAUCAAUUUGAUGGAUGUUUGUAAAUGUUUAGCCAUAUGUCAGGUUAAAAAUGUGAUGGUCUAGAUGUCACCAAAAUUGUCCAGUUGGCUACUGCUGUCAAAUCACAUGGGUUUACAUUCUUAACUUCAAAGGACAGGUCUUGUUGCUUUGGCAUAGGCAGCUAGUAGUUCUGCUUUUUAGAUCAUCAUGUGAAUUUAGAUUAAACACUAGUUUCUUACCUGCACAUUUGUUAUUGUUGCCUAGACUUUAUAACAGCAUGUAUUUAUCAAUUUUAUGCAAAUUCACUUUUUUUUACCUAAAAUACUCAUCUAGGUUAUAUAUAUGAUUUUUGUCAAAGUACCAUCUUAGUAUAUAAUCACUUAUUAAUGAUCCCUUUUUAAAUUUAGGGAGAUGCAGAUUACCUCAGAUAUCGUGGAAUGCAAGAAUUCGAUCAAGCAAUGCAGCAUCUCGAGGACAAAUAUGGUGUAUGUAUUAUUUCUCCUAGCAGCUUUACAUUUUCUGUGGAAAUUAUUAAAAGGUUCAGGGAUCAAUUUUGUUUAACUAUAAGCUGAUCUUGCUCCUCAUCAAGAUUCUGAGAGUAUUCGUAUGUUGUUGAAGAAACAAUCUGAUUUACAAAUACAUUGUGAAAUGAAUCUAUUUCAAAUCUCGCAAUGAUUGAAUGAUAUAUGACCACUAAAUUGGGAGAGAAUAUGAAAGUAUAUUCUGAGACAUCAAAAUAAAAGGCCACAAAUACUUCUUUGGACCCCUGUUUGGAUAUUGUUGAAGGACCAAUCUGAUUUACAAAUGCAUUGCAAAAUUAAUCUGUUUCACACUUUUCUAUUCCAAAUCUCAUGAUGAUUGAAUAACAUAUGAUCACUAAUCGGGAGAGAAUAUCAAAGUAUAAUCUGAGACAUCAAAAUAAGUGCCCCCCACAAGUACUUCUAUAGGUUAUGUGACUCGAGUUCCAUGGUGUAUUUUAGUUGAGCAACAAAUUUGGAAAUUGGAACUGCAUAAUUUUGUGGGUUUUAAAGAACAAUAAUUCUCUCAGAUAGUUAAUUAAAGAUAAAUUUCCAUAUGGAUGUUCUAAACAUUUUUCAAUACUACAUUGAAGUUUCCUUGACUCAUUGUUUCCAGGUGCUGAUUCUCCAAUGAGAAUUCUUGAGCAUUUUGUUUCAAGAUUAUUUGCCAGCAGACUAUUGCAUAAGAUCUUUUUCUUCAUUGUAUGGUCAUCUUUAUAUGAUGUGUAUUGCAGUUCAUGACAUCAGAUCAGUACAUCUCCCGAAUGGAUGAGGGGGAUAAGAUGAUUGUUUUUGAACGAGGUGACUUGGUAUUUGUUUUCAAUUUCCAUUGGACAAAUAGCUACUUUGACUACCGAGUUGGUUGCUUAAAGCCUGGAAAAUACAAGGUGCGUAAACCUUUACAAUAUGGCUUCCUGAUUGUCCAUGGUAACAUUUCUGUCCAUGUAGAUCUGACACCGAAUUAUGCCCUUUUAGCUUCAAGUUAAACUUGCUUAUUAGAAACUACUCGAUGUUGUCAUAAUCUAUGAAAUGUGACAUUCAUGACUUCAUUGAGGAAACAGCCUCUCUACGUGUAGGAAUAUGUUAGAGCAAGUUUGCUUAUUUAAAAGUUGUGUCAAAAUCUAUUAAAGCAUCUUUGCUUCAGUGCAUGGAAUAUGUUAGAGCAAGUUUGUUUAUAUAAUUGUUCUACCAUUUAAUGUGGUUCUCAUUAAAGAUUUCAUUCAAAAUUAACUUAUUUAGAAUAGGCUCAAAUUCAGGACUCACAAAGGAUUAAACUUCUCUAUUCUCCAUGUUGAUAAAAGCUAAUCAAUCUCCUUAUCCAUAUGCAUGGAUUUGGCUAGCAUGUAGUGUGCCAGUAAUAUGCCAGCUAGCAUGGUGCUGCACUAGAGCUAUGUUGGUUGGUACAGGCCUUGUGCAUGCAAAUGCUACACCUUGGGCCCUGGCAACAAGAAGCCGUGUGCUAUGGCAUGGUUUGGCACAGUCAUUUGUCAUCCUUGAUGCUAAGUUGUAAUCAUACGGUUGGUUGGUUAUACGGUUAGUUGACACAAGUUUUGCUGGAUUAUUUCUUCUCUUUUAUGAACAUGCUUGGUGCAAGUAGUGUUUUGUUGGUCGAGUGAUUCUAUUAGUGACACUAGUAAUUCUGUUUCAGGUGGUUUUGGAUUCUGAUGAUAAAUUAUUUGGCGGAUUCAAUCGAAUUGAUCAUACAGCAGAGUACUUCAGCACUGUAAGGCUCCGCUUAUGUGCUAUUUUUAUGAAUAUCUAAUAUCAGAAAUAACCUUCAAUAUCUUUGGUGAUCAUGCAGGAUGGUUCAUAUGAUAACAGGCCUCGCUCUUUCCUAGUUUAUGCGCCUAGUAGAACUGUAGUGGUUUAUGCUCUUUCUGUGGACUGACUGAAGAUUGCUGGGUUGUGCAUCCGCACAAGAAAAGCCAGAUGAUGCAAACUGGCACGGUGAAAAACACAAUUGUUGCAUGCUCUUGGUUAUCUCUCAUGUUGGAGCUUAAAUGGCACAUCAGUUUUCGAUGUUCAUGAAGCCAACCUUACUGAGUAGGGCUCAGUGACUUUGGGUUGAUUCUGUUAACUGUAUUCCCUUAGCUUUGUGCCUCAAGUUGGGGGUGUCCCUUCCCGUCCUCCCUCCCCCAACCCAAACCUUUUUUUUUUUUUCCUUUCAAGUUAGUGAAAGGAUUUGCCUGUGUGGGGCUUGCAUUCUCUUUUUCGAUCUGCACAGAAUAAAGGUAAACACAGCACAUGCAUGCAGAAAGCAGUUCUCUGUUACCUCUCUCUCUCUCUCUUAAUGUUCUCUCUUUGUUAUGGAGGGAAAGGUUCAUAUUAAAUGUGUUAUCUUUGUUGCGUGGAAUUCGUGCUGCGUGUUUCCGAUACCAGUUUUGCCAUACUUUACAGGUUUAUCGCAGACACCACCGGCUACAAUGUCAUGAUCCUGCAACAGUUACAAUUUCCUUUCUAUCUAUCUAUCUUUUUUCUUAUUCGAAAAUUCCCCUUCUUAAAUUUUAUUACGAAAUUACAUCUGAUUAUGGUGAGAUUUUCACAGGUUCAGGUAAUUCUUAGCGCGUGUGGACAGAACGUUCUUAUUUGAGGAAAUUAUCUCAUGUUUUUCUAGUCUGGAGAUAAAAAUAAUAAUAGAUGUAUAUUUGCCAGGUAGAAAAUUGUAAAAAUGUUAAGAGGGAGAUAAAUGCUAUACGUUUAAGAAUUAAAUAAAUAUGGCUAGCGAGCGAUAUGAUCGUUAUUUUGUGCUAAUAAAAAAGAACAAAUUUUAAAUGUUCUUUAUUUUAAGAAUAUUCCUUUUUUCACUCUAUUUCUAUUUAUUUUAAAAUGUUCUUUAUUUUAAUUGUGUGGACAUAUAUCUCGAUGCUAAUUUGAUAUUGUGAUACUUGUGGUUGAGGAGCCAAAGUGGCAAAAAUGGCUCCAUAGUUUUGAGCUCGAGUUGGGUUUGACCUUAAUUCCCGUCCAAAGAGUCGAGUCGACAUGGCACCGUAGUUUGCCUACAAACCCCCAUGCUUAGUGCAACUCUUUCCACCUCCAUGUCGUCGGUGGCGAACAUUAGCAUCCCUCGUGUCACACUCGCAGGCGGACAGUGCUUCGUGCUCCUCAUCAUCGACUCCAUCAGCAGGCACAUGUGACAUGACAGCCAUGGCGAGCGUCGUACGCCUCUGCUCCCCCCAUCGAUUGAGGAGUUGAUUACAUGUCCACCGCUGCCAUCUCCUCUUCUUCCUCAUAUCUUAUUACGCUACCCACCAAUAGGCUGCAGGAAGCUUGCCCUAGUGGGAGCAGAGACAUAGAUUAGGUCGCACUUUGACUUCCUUUUGAAUCCUCUUCCAUAUUAAUUUAAUACUCUUCGGCCGACGAAUCAAGAAAGAAGACACAGAUAGAUAGAUAGAUAGAUGGAUUAGUUCUCCAUCAAGGCUUUGUUUCGCCAAACUUUGUCGGUAAACGGAAAACUAAACCCGCACGAAUCAUGCAAACUAAAGGACAAACACACCUCGCGAAGUCUUCCCAUACUCUACCCUUAAUUUGUGCCACCUAAUGUGGCUUUCCUCCCCUUUUAGUUUCCCUCACCGUUGACUCGCAGAAGACGGGGUUCGUCUCUUCGUCGCUAGACACAUCUAUUGCGUCUCAGCAUUAAUUUAUGGUCAAAGAUUUCAUCCACGACCCACAGUGAAAUAACAAAAGGAGACGCAAUACAUGUUCGGUGUUCCGCUCAUCCGAGAAACCAGCAACUUGAUUUCGAAGACCACGACAAAAAGGAUGGCAUUAGUCCCCGUCCUCGCCGCACCUUCGUUUGACUUGUGCUUUUCUUGGCUCAUUUCAGUAAGGAAGGGGGUAAAGAAGCCAUGUUUUCACCUUAACUAGAUUAAACACGGCGUGUGUGUGUGUGUGUGUGGUGAUUACACAGCUCUGCCAAGCUUCACAGACCGAGCAGCACUUGCGAUCACAUAUCCUAUGUUUGAUUUCUUUUCUUUGUAGCAGUGCUCUUUAUCUGAUAUUUUGUCGACUUAUAUGAGGCUGUCAGUCAUGCAGCCGAUCGAUCACAUGCCAUCAGUAAACAGUCGGUAGUAACUCGUGCAGUGUUCUGCAAAAUAAUUAUAGCAUCGGAUCUGCAUGUUGUAAUCCUCCCCACCACGCUUUGGGUCAAUCAUUGAUUAAUGCUGAUUUGUCUUAUGGAGAACUGAGUUGGUAGCAGAUUCAUGCCUCGUGACAAAAACAUGGAUCACAAGUGUUGUGUCAGCAUUCAUGAUCUGCAUCAUGGGCCAUGCACAGGGAUAAUCCUACAGCAGCAGUACUAUAUAUGCUUCUGCAUCAUUGCCAUGCAUCUCCUUCGUGUUCCUCUCUACGGAUGCUCUCCGCCCACAUACCUGCUGUGCUCACAGUCCUGUUCCGAAGAAAGAGCAAGGCAACAGACAUCUAGAUUUUGCUUUACGUGAAUGGAUCUAACCUGCUUUAGGAGCUAAGAAACGACGUUGGAUCGGCAUAACAUCUCGUGGAACGAAUCAUUACAUCAUAAUGCAGAUUCCUGUAUAAGAAGAAACUUUUGUCUUCAAAGCUGGGAAUUCUCUGUUGCAUCACAUGAUGAUGGGUACAAUUAUCAAAGUCACGUUCAGUACGUAGUACAGGCAAACAUCAUUGUCAUGUUCGUGUGUGUCUUCUACUCAUCUAUACAUCAUCGUUAAUCUCUUUUAGAUGCCCAACAAAUAAAUCCCUGGUGGUGAUGAAUGAGCUCCAAGAUUUAGAUGGUCAUCGACUACUGUAGAGUAAUGCCAUGUUGUCGACGGAGACGCGAAUGGCGACGUUGUUUUGGAAGCUGCUACAUGAUGGAUUCCAUGGCCGGUCACGAUAAUGAUGAUGGGGUCAAAUCUUGAGGCAGAAAGGAAGAGCAAAAGUACAGGAACGGACAAGGUAAAAAAGGAGGAGGUGGGUCUCUUGUGCCGCUACUGGGGAGAGCGAAGCCUGUGAGAUCUGACGGACGUGACGCAAUGCAUGUGACUAGGGGAAGCCAUGAACAGCUUCUCCCACCUACCAAGCGCGGUGUCGGCAGUUCCGGAGAUGCGCCUCGGUCUGCGCUCGCGGCCGAUUCAAUUAUUUGGUGGUGGGAUCGACCGCAGGCUGCCCCAUUCAACCUUGCAUCGCUCUCUUCCGCCAUCCCCUCCUGCCUUCCUGCCGAGGAAGAAGAAGAGGAGCAUGUGAUUGACUACGAAGAGCCAUACACGAGGCACUUCGUCUUUGGAGGAAAGAUCCUUUCGACCCUUUCUUCAUUUGCCCUGAUAACCCUAACUCCAUCGAGAUCCAAUGAUGAGGUAUGGCAGGAUUUGGCUGCAGCAAUCUUUCAGCUGGUGAUGGGAUAGCCAAUGAACACUCAUCGGUAGCUGCAAAUUCUCAUUUGGCACGACAAUGGCACAAAAUAACAUCAUCUCUUGCCCAUGUCGUGUCAUGUAAUCACUCAACACACCCCCACAAUUUCUGAUCUCGGCGGUAGCUGCAAUUUCUCAUUGGCACGACGAUGGCACAAAGAAAACACCUUGUCAUUGUCAUGCAAUCACUCGGCAAUCCCCGCAAUUUCUGAUCGUUAAGAUAAUAUUUUUGGAAUCGGUAAGUAUUUUAAGAUUUUUAAAUUUAGAAUAAAGAAUCUUAAUACAAGAAGUAAUCCUUGUGAUAAAAAAAAUAGAGUUUGAUUUUUCUAUAAAUAUCUCAUUUAUUUAUCGCUAGAUUUUGACUGAGGAGAGUGAAAUAUAAAACCUUGGAUUUCUCUCUGUGUGUCUAAAGAGGAUGAAACCAAAUUUAUGAAUCAUUUGAAUUUAUAUGAAUCAAAUAUCUUAUAAUGAAAUAUCAUGUGUUGAUUUUCUGAUAUGUUUUUUAUUGUUAAUAUCUAUGAUUCUAUUUAGAUUUCGAGUUUUUCUCCUUUGGACGUGGGAGGUGUAACCAUCAUAAUUUUGUUCCUAAAUUUUAAAAAUUAAUUCAUAAAUGGUAUACAUUAAAUUAUAAUUUAUUUCCAAAUUUUACCCAAAGAAAUAAAUUAUUCGAAUUUAAUUUAAUAACAAUAACUAAUGUGAAAUAAAUCUCUCCACAUCAAUUAAAAUUUAAACUUGAGAGAACUACACGAGGGGUUAAUUACAUAUUAUCCCUUAUACUUGGAUCCUAUUAGUAUUGCGAUCCUUGUAUUUAAAAAAAUUAUAUUGAGAUCCUUUUAAUUUUAAAAAUUAAAUAAAUAAUCUCAUAUGUCGUGAUGUCAUUAGUUGCAUUAAAAGAAAAGGAUAAUUUCAAUAUCUCUUCUAUUUUAAUAUUGACUUCCACCUUUUAUAAUUCUAAUCAAAUCAAAAUCCAAAUAAGAACAUGGCCAUCAAUUAUUAUUUUUAUAUAUAUUGGUGAUGACACUUCCAUGGAGAAAUCCAUGGUCUUCUCCCACUAAUUGAAGAGGAUGAUGACACACCUUUGCAUUGUCCAUGGCAUUAAUACAAGCUAAUGCCAAGCAAAUUUUGUACCUAUGAAAAAUAUUUUUACAAGAUAUUUUAAAAAUUUUAAUUUUAUUAGAAAAUAUAGUUCAUAGAUGAGUGUGCAUAACAUUGAGCCAUUUGCUUAGCACUAAUACAAACAUAAAAUCUCAUUUGGAAUAUUAAAAUUAUCUUUUUAAUAAUAAAAUCAUUGAAAACAAAAAGAAUAUUAAAAAUUUACUCAUCACUUUCAUGUCAAUUCAAUAUGUGGUGUCACGUGUUGUGUUUUCUAUCAAUACAACUAACAAUGUUAGGACAAAUAGGAUUAUCUAUUUGAUUUUCAAAAUUAUAGUGAUUUCAAUAUAAAUUCUAUUUUAAGUAUAGGGACUGCGAUACUAAUAGAGUCCGAGUACAAAAGGUGAUUUGUAAUUAACCCCUAUACGAGCGAAGAAUGGAGAGAAAUCAUCUUGUUCGGGAGAUAGUAGGUUCUUUCCUUUUACUUUUUAGUUUUAUAAUUACUUAAUAUUUUUUAAAAAUGAUAUUAAUUAAUAUUAUAUUUUAAGUUAAAAAAGCUUAUGCAUACCUUUAGAUUUUAGUAUUAUUAAUUUUAAUUAAUUGUUUUGAAAUUUUAGAUCAUGAUGUAAUAAUUAGUAAAUAUGAUAAUUUUCAUGUUAUACCAAUCUCAAUAGUUGUAAAAAUAUAUAAUUCAUCAAAACUAAUCUAUCUUGAUUUUGGGAUGAAAGAAGCAUAUUUUAAGAAAUAUGGUAAUACAUUUUGUGAAAUUUAGCUAUCAAAAUCAUAUAGAAAAUUAUUCUAAUCGAGAUAAAAUUAAAAAAAAGUAUUUGUAUUAUUUCAUCAAAAUAAAUCAAAAUUGGGUACGAAAUUCCAAUGGGAUACAAAAUGCAAUCAUCUUCAUCUUCUUCUUAAUAUGCAAAACUAUACUUAGGACACACCUAAUCAUCAUUAUUAACUUCCUAAUUAUUUUACCUUUGUAUACAACUAAUGCUAUAGUGUAUUGCUUUAAUUCCUAAUUUUACGUAUCCUAAUAAGAAAUAAUUUAUUUAAUUAAUUAUUUAAUAAUAAAAACUAAUAUGAAUAAUAUCUUCUUAUUGUCUAUAUAAAGCCGUACAGACACCCCUUCAUUUUCAUCUUAAAAUUUAGUGCUGAAAAUAUUAUAAGUUCUCUAAUUUUACUUUUAGUUUAGGUGUUAAAAUUAUUAGCCAAUUUUUGGUUAUUUAAUAUUUCAUAAGAAUAAUAUUAAGUAAAUUUAUAUUUUAAAUAAAACAAGUGAUAAAUGUCCUUCAAUUUUAGUAUUAUUAAUUUUAAUUAAUUGUUUUGAAACUUAAUAUCAUGACCUAAUAUUAUUUGUAAUAAAAUUAAAUUUAAAUUAUGAUUUUUUUUGUCUAAUCCAACUCAAUCUCUUUUUAAUAAGAGGGUAUUAUUUCCUAAAUAGGUGAUAUGCCAAUUUCAUUUUAAGGAUUAGCUGAGUAUCAAAUGUAAUGAUUAUAUAAUCCUUAUAUUCAUCGUUGAAAGGAAGAUAUAUGCAUUUCGAUGUUCCCGCGUCUCUUCAUCUGAAGUAAGUCUCUUCAUCCGAUGUUAAGCAAGUCAAGUUAAACAAUAUGAUUAAGUAAUUUGUAUUAUAAUUUUAUACGUUGCGCGAUGAUUUAUAUUUCUAAAAUUUUAAUUUUUGAGAUUACCUUAAUAUUUAUUUUCAGGAUAAAUCAUUUCGACAACAAAUAUCGGAGAUUCAGACCCCGCCCUCACAAAAAAUAAAAGAAAUAAUUUUUAAUACCUAUAGGUAAAUAAAUAUACCUCUCCAAAUUUUAGACAUUUUAUGAUUCUUUAGUUUUGACUUUCGAACAAUUUCUCACAUGAAACUUUUAACUUUGAGAUAAAUUACUUUAACCAUUGGUUCAGUAAGAGGAUAACAAUUAUUAGUUGUGUCGUUGAAGGAAAAGGAUUUCAUUGUGGAGAUGUGACGUUAGAGCUCCGCCACGCCAUGAUUUGCGCCGGGAAGUACUUGGAGUUGAUGGCUGAAGGUGGUGGCGCUGUCGUUGCCGCCGCCGCCUUCACUGCCUCGCCUUUAGGUUUUUGGUCGGUGGCUUCCUAUUUUCCGGUUCCCACUUCGCCCUUAUUCUACGAUUGAUUUAAGAUUGUUCGGACCAUUCAUAUUAAACUACAACAGUUAAUUAGUGAUUAAUGCUUUAAUUGUUUUAAUUUAGAUAUGAAUUCACCAAUAGAAUGCACGAGUUUGGGUAAUAGGAUUUGCCGAUGUAAAUAAUAGAAACAAAUCAUAUGGAUAGUAAUGAAUUAAAAAUGCUAAGAGAAUAGCACCAAAGAAAGCCAUAUUCUUUGUUUCUUUUAGCUGCUCUGCUCUACUCUGCUCUGCUGUUGUUUAUUUAAAGGAUGUGCUGACAACCUCAAGUCUCUGCAUCCCACCCUCCCUCCCUCCGCAUCGUGUUCUCUUCUUCCCCUUCGUUCCUCUCUCUCUCUCUCUCUCUCGCCUCGCUGGGAUCAGAUCUCCAGCGGAGGAGGAGAAGAGAAGCGCCGAGUUCUUCAUUUCUGCCCACCAUUCUCUCGAUCUUUUGAGCUCCGUUCGUCUGCUGUCGUAUUGGUUUAGGAGGAGACAGAGCUCCUCUGUUCCUCGUUUCUCUCGUGUGGAGUGGGUGAAAGGGAGUGGGAUCUGCGCCUGAACAACGUCUCUGUGUCCCCUGUUUCACUUCUCUGUUUCCCUUCCUUUCUUAUUCCUAGAUCCGUAGCGGAGGAAAAAGCUUGCAAGUACUCCAGCCCAAAGGGACCGACAGUGCUGCUCCACCUCAUUUGCCUUUGUGACUUUUAAGCUCUGUCCUUCGCAGAUCCUUCCGCUUCCACGUUCUCUGUCCUCCGAGCUACUUUACAGGAGCGAGGCAGGGAGAGAAGGCGAGGAAGGAGGAGGAGAGGAGAUGGAUAGGCUUUCUUCGACGCCCGUUCUGCCGAGGAGGAAUGACGACGUCACGCAGUUGGGGAUGGUGUGGGAGCAGGUCAAGGCGCCGGUGAUCGUCCCCCUGCUGCGCAUCGCGGUGUUCCUGUGCCUGGCCAUGUCGGUCAUGCUCUUCGUGGAGAAGGUGUACAUGGCCACCGUCAUCCUCGCCGUCAAGCUCCUCCGGAGGCGGCCGGAGACGCGCUACAAGUGGGAGCCCAUGGAGGACGACAUGGAGCGAGGCAGUGCAGCGUACCCCAUGGUCCUCGUCCAAAUCCCCAUGUUCAACGAAAAGGAGGUUGCGCGCCCUGAUGCCAUUCACUGCCUCGUUCCGCAACGUGCAGGCAUUAAAAUUCUCUCAGCUCUAAUCUAAUGGCAUGUGGUGCUACAGGUAUACCAGCUCUCCAUCGGAGCUGCAUGUGGGCUUUCAUGGCCGUCAGAUCGUCUCAUAAUCCAAGUGCUCGACGACUCCACCGAUCCCGCCAUUAAGGUAGGCGAUUCCCGAUGCCCUCAAGCUUAGUUUAAGAUAGCGUCUCGCUUGCACUUACACACGCAGCUGUCGAGCAAGAAGAGUAAAACACCGGUGAUCACUAACAAUAAUGCUUAGUCGCCAACACUUGGACUCAUUCUGCGAGUGCACAACUCCCCAUUAAAGAAUCAGAAAACAAAAUAUCAUAUGGUUUUAGAUUGUAUCUGAAGCACAGAGUGUGUGUGUGUGUGUGUGUGUGUGUGUAUGGCAGGAGAUGGUGCAGGUAGAGUGCCGGAGGUGGGCGAGCAAGGGGGUGAACAUACGGUACGAGAUCAGGGACAACAGGGUAGGCUACAAGGCUGGGGCGCUCAAGAUGGGGAUGAAGCACAGAUACGUCAAGGACUGCGACUACGUCGUCAUCUUCGACGCCGACUUCCAGCCGGAUCCCGACUUCCUCUGUCGCACCAUCCCGUUCCUCAUCCACAACCCCCAGAUCGGCCUCGUCCAGGGCCGCUGGAGAUUCGGUAACGCAAUCCCUCUUCUCAUUCCUCUUCCUGCCGACACUGCAUUCUCGUGGUCAUGCUGUUCCACCUCUUUCUCUCUCCUUGGUGCUUGUUUUAGCUGCAAAUUCACUGUCGUCAACACUGUCCUGCUCCGCUCCAAGCGAGCAAUAUACUGCAAGUCCGAGAGAGGAAGAAGUCACGUACAUCUUUCUUUUGUUUCUUCUAGCUAAUAAGACAGACGGGGCGCAGAGAUGGGGAGUGACCCCUUUUUUGCGUGAAUGAUCUUGUUUGAUAAUGAGGAUGACCGUAGUCCCCGAACCGACCUCGAUGCCAUUACUGAGAGCAGGUUCGGAUCGAGGAAGAGAGUGUCGGUGUAGUCUGGCAUUAGAUUUUGAUUUAGUAGCAUGCAGUGCAGAGGUUUCGGAUCGUGGAGCCCACCGGGCAAGACCUAUAGGACUCGGCCAACUAAUCACGGAGUCGACGAAAAGAAUAAAGCCUUGUGAGUCUGUCUCGGUCCACUGGUUACCUGGUCCCUGACUUGUGUGCUGAUUGGACUUGAUGCGGGGACCCCUCGGUAGAUCUUAGUAUAGAACGGGUAAAAGUGAAAUGUGAGGAUUAUGGCUGCAGUAGAACCGAAGCGAGUCAAGUCAACAAGAGAACAGAGGCCAAAUUUUCUUUCACAUAUGGCAAGGGAAAAAAAGAUUCUGAUGCGGUCAGGUCCUGCCUGACACUCACAUCACAUGCCUAGAUUUGCGGGGACAGAAGCUUGUGUUGGGAAUUCCUUUGCUUCUGUCCCUCAAGAAGAGUUGCCCUCCUGAGAGAGAGAGAGAGAAAGAGGCAUCCUUAAGUUUAUUAUGAGGACCAGCUAAAUUGCUAUGUUUCAAUGGUGCAGUAGCUAAAUAACAAAUGUGGUAGCUGCAGAUUAAUGUAGAUGGAUCCAACUUGCGUUUUUUACUCUGGUACAACUGUACGUUUUGCCUUCCCAUGUGCAAUUAUACUCGUGAUAUUACAGCCCAAAGCUGUCUCCUCAUGCACUGUUCAUAAGCACCGACACCGCAGGAAUCACCCUUUAUCUUUAUCUUUAUCUUUUCUAAUCUUUUACUUCCUGCGUGAUAAAGAAGUUAUCUUGUCGGCUGUCACCAUCCAACUCAUUAGUAGUCCAUUCAGCCAUCCUUGCUUUACUGCAUAAUGUUCUUUACAGACCAAUCCUACGUGCAUGAACAUGGCGACAAUUAACCUAGAAUAAGCAUUUGAAACGUUGUCGAUGCUGGAUUUCCUUAGCAUUGCUUGCAAUGCAUGUGUCGCAGUGAACGCGGAUGAAUGCUUGAUGACAAGGAUGCAGGAGAUGUCCUUGGAUUACCAUUUUGCUAUCGAGCAGGAAGUGGGAUCCUCCACCUAUGCUUUCUUCGGAUUCAAUGGUGAGUUAUUAGUGCACCUCGGAAUUAAGUAAGAAAUGGAAGGAUGAAUACCUGUCGUCAUUGUCAAGGUGAGUUGCUAAAAUGGAGUCUCUUCGCAGGGACUGCUGGGGUAUGGCGGAUUGCAGCUAUCAAUGAAGCCGGAGGUUGGAAGGAUCGGACCACUGUAGAGGACAUGGACUUGGCUGUUCGAGCAAGCCUCAAGGGCUGGAAAUUUAUAUUCCUCAACGACCUCGGGGUAAGCAUUAACUAUGAUAACUAUGCAAAGUCAGAACAAAUAAAUGAUGAGGCAGAACAAUUAUUAGUAUACCUGCUACAAACUUGCAUCUUGAUCUUCAAAUGAUUGAAGCGAUUCAGUAGUUGAUUAGAUUGCCUACAUCUCUGAGCUCAGGUGAAAAGCGAGCUACCAAGUACUUUCAAGGCAUUUCGCCAUCAGCAACACAGAUGGUCGUGUGGACCAGCGAACUUGUUCAGGAAAAUGGUGGUGGAGAUCUCCAAGAACAAGGUCUGUUCCCUGUGUGUUAGAAACACCCACAACUUUUCCAGAGAUUCUGAUUGGCUUUGUGAUGCCUCCUUGACAAUGCAGAAAGUAUCCCUGUGGACCAAAGUUUAUGUGAUAUACAGCUUCUUCUUCAUCCGCAAGAUUGUGGGUCAUAUAGUGACCUUUAUAUUUUACUGCUUGGUGAUCCCUGCCACUGUCUUUGUUCCUGAAGUGGAAAUACCAAUGUGGGGUUUAGUCUACCUACCUUCCGUCAUUACAAUGCUGAAUUCUGUUGGAACGCCGAGGUACCACUGUUCCCUUUCAAUUGAAUCUUAGCGGGAUAUUCAACCAUGAAACUGGAUGCCAAGUGAUCAUUAAGCUCAUCUCUUUGGUUAAACUUCAAAGAUAACCCACUCACUUGAUGCUUCGCCGCAGGUCGCUUCACUUGCUGGUGUUCUGGGUCCUUUUCGAGAAUGUCAUGUCUCUGCAUAGAACAAAAGCAACCUUGAGUGGCCUCCUCGAUUUAGGGAGAGUUAAUGAAUGGGUGGUCACUGAGAAGCUCGGGGAUAUUAUGAAGACAAAAUUGCCUACCAAAGCAGCUAAGAAGCCAAGAGUCAGGAUUGGCGAUAGGUAAUCCCAAACCUACUGACUUUUAACUUGAGAAUAUAACAGCAUCAAAACUACAAAGGCUACUGCACAGAAGACAAAAGUUUAGCUGUAAUACCUGUAAUGGUAUUGAUGUGCUCUCUGUGUUGUUUUUGGAAUCAGGUUACAUAAAAUGGAGCUCUUUACUGGGGCCUAUCUCUUCUUCUGUGCAUGCUAUGAUCUGAAGUAUGGGAAGAACCAUUACUUCCUCUACCUCUUCCUCCAGUCGAUCACCUUCUUCAUCGUUGGAUUUGGUUAUGUUGGCACCUACAUUCCACAAUCCUAAUGGGCAUAGUUCGAUAUGCUGCCAAAACUUUUUCGUGUACCUUCUGGCGGUGCUGUAUCUUUUACCCGGGUAGCAUACUUCAACUUAAGCAGUCAUGGAUGCUUGAAGAGAAGAGAAGCAUAAUCCUGCAGAAAAGGAUUCUUGUGUGAAUACUAAGUUGAAUGAGUAUAAGUAUGAUGGUUUACAUAAUGUAGUAGAUAAGUCUGUUUCAAUCUCCCCAACAGCAGCUGCAACUGCAGUAGAGAGUGGUUCUAGCUUGAAGAAGAUGAUGUGUGGAAGCAGACAUCAUCUUAAGAACCCAAUAAUUUAAUGUAAGAGUGUUUCUUGCAAGAUGUCAUUCCAGUAUUGUGAUUCUGGUACCUUCAGGUUUCAUAUUACAAUUUGCUGAUAUCUUAGUCUAAAUGUAUUGAUCUGCACCAAUAAAUUAAUGCAUUAGAUGUAUUAAGAACCUAUUGCUGCUCACUGACCUUGAUUUAUAACCACAAUUCUUGAAGCUCCUGGCACCGACGAUUUCUGGAAUUCCCAUCACAGGAAUUGGGGGAAAUGUUCCUCAUGGUGGUACAUGCUCAUGGGUUUAAUCCUCAAGAAGUCCAUAUCAGGGAUAGUCAACAGAGCAGAAGGAAAAAGCUAUGAUAAGUAUUACAUUCUGUUCCAGGAGAUGUACUUAUAUUAACUUCGAACUUUGGCAGCCUCAGUAGUCUUGUUUUUCUGAAACGAUUACUGGCAACAACCACUACAAAAUCCAAUAGAUAGUUCAUAUUGUUGUCUGUACAUGUUCUGACCUGUCUUUAUGGCAAAAUAUGCAACAGAUGUUCUAACAAAAACUGCAUGAAAAUGCGAAAUAUUUUAGAAACUUGCUUCUUGAAAUACUAGAAUCAACUAACCAUACAAAGAGUUCAAUUUCUUGGUUAGCUCAAAAGAAACUAUAGAAGAUGCCAACCACCACUUAAUUGUGCCACCCUCACGAGAACAUAUACAUACGCUUCUUUGUUGAAGAGCACAAACAAAGGAAUCAAUUAUGAAUGCAAAAUAGGAUUACAAAGAUUUAAACAAAGCAUUUUAUAAUUUUAGCAAUUUGAAAAUUUUUAAAUAAACAAAGAAAUAUAAGUUCAUAUAUAACUUGCCAGAUAUAACAUGUAUUAUACACUGUGAUAUUAAACCUAGACAAGAUUACUUUUCAACAACAUGUGGAGCAAAGAAUUCAUUAAUCUGGCUCUUUUGAUGUUUACGAGAUGAUAUGACUGUCGUUUAGGUAUGUUAGAGCCGUCUACAUCGUUAAUAUCAAGCGAGAGGUCUAAGACACAUGAAACAUAAUGAUUUCAAAAUGUUACCAAAGGAUGCUUGCCAAUCUUUUUCUCAGACUGCAGAGCGUCAACCCGAAACAAAGUGAUUAGUACAACUAACUAGCAGUGGUUCAAGUAUGAACAUUGGCAUCUUUAAGCUAGUAUAGCAGCUUUAUGCUGUAAAAUACUAGAGGCAAGUGCCAGAUGCUGUUUAUAUGGAUUCACGAGCAGUAUGCUGGCGAAUGCGUGGUACUAUAAUUCAAUAAGCUCUCAACAAGUGUUUCAGAAAGAAACCUCCACCAACCUACGUUCACAAUUCUAUAAAUCUUCAUUUGAUUUCCCUCUAUCCCUCCUCUCCCUCCAACGAGCCCAAAUCCACCUCAGAAUCAUGAAGCCUCCAAGGGCAUACACCUGAAUAAAAAUGGCAAUUAGCUUGCAGCAAGCAAAGAUCAGGAAAGGAGCAAGUACCACAAUUGCAUUAUGUUGAUAACUCAAUUAGAUAGAAAGCAGGCAAGGUACUCUUUUUUCAUUCGAACCACUUUGUACCCUCUUAUUUGCUGGAGAAGAAAGUGAUGGAGGUGUUCAAAGAUUGUCACUGCUUGCUAACUUCGCACGAAAUUAGCAAGCAAGCUCGACAACUCAUGGAGCUAAAUUGGCCAAGUGCUUGGAAUUGUAGGUUUCUAUCUUUACGACAGAGUAGGGGGCUUAUCAAUACUUGAAGCUUGAUUUUUCGUUUUUGGAUUCUCAAAGAAAAAAGUAAAAGUAAACUAAAAGAACAUCCUCAUGUCAAAAUUGGGUCUUGCAAAAAUUUGUUAUUUUUCACAUGCCACAACUUUUUAGUUAACCAAAUUAUACACUUACAAAAUGGAACUAAGAGCAAAGUUUGCAAGUCCAUAUCUAUAUUAAUAAAACAUUAUGCAAUGCUUCAGUAGUCAUCCAUAUUAAGAGAAUUAAGUGUCUGUCUCCUGAUAAAAGAUGUGAUUCCACUGCCACUGACAUGUGGCUUAUGAGAAUUGAUCUGAUAAUGGAACAGUAGGGAACAAUUAAACAAAGGGAAAUCAGUGCAAAGCACUACAUGUACCUAACUACAUAUGUAGAACAGAUCGAAUACUAUGAAAAUCAGUAAACAUUUAAUUCCACACUUUAAAGAUGGAGUAUGUGAAUUAAAGAAUUUUUGUUUCUAAUCUGAAACGGUGCUCGACCAAAGUCGAACUCAUGGACCAACUUAUCCAUACAUCUGGGGAAACCAAAUAAAUUAAUGCAUCGGAGUAUAUUUCACAGCACACAAGUUGCAAUUCCAAGUCAUCGGUCUUUACUUUGACAUCUUAAACACAAAUAGAUGACCAAAAGGGCAUCCCAUUGCAUGAGGCACCUACCAACAUGGUGUCCAGGGAGGGGCUAAUAUGAACAGCCUUACCUUCAUGAAUGGAGAGUUGAUUUUUAUGUUUCUGUUAACAGAGCAAACUAAUCAAUGAUUAUCGCCCAAGGCCUGCCAUCACAACUUUAUGUAGACCAUAAUAAAUGCUUUUAUUCUCCCAUCAGUAUCUCUUAAUGCAUAGAUAGAAAAACGUGGUGUUCCUUUUGAGAAAUAUAGGCAAAAGCAUGGUUCAAAAGAAUAUACAUACAUAUAUAUAUAUUCACGGACACACACACGACCAGAAUAAGCAGAUAAUUCUACCUCUACCAUAUUUUUCUUCUAAUUCAAAUAUGUACGUUUCUCUUUAUCGUCCCCCUUGUACUCUGAGCCUAGCAAAAUGAUGAAACACCCAUCAAACACCAACUUAUCAUCUGCAAUCCUACUAUUCUUUUUGCCCUUUCUUUCCUACGUUGUUUCCAAUUAACUCACCAAAGGCUCUCCAGAAACUGACUGAGUUCUACAGAUUGCAUAGAAUAAGUUUCUGAGAGUCGCCCUCUUCAGGUCCGACCCAGGCGUUAGGGUUUUAUUCUAGAUGCAGAAGAGUGAACUCCGUCCAUCUGUAUGGCUUCAACCAUUUGAGAUGGCAGGCGAAGAGACUGGGAGGGGAGGAAUACCUGCCACAUAUUGUGAUGGCUCAUGUCCUCGGUAGACUCUUCGCCUUCCAGCGUGAGAGGCGGUGGGAAGCUCUGGGCUCUGCGGCGGGCGGCAUCCGGAAAAGUCACUAUCAUCGUCGGCGAAGGAUUCAUGGUCCCGUGCCUCUCCUCUUCCCUCGCCGGGCGCGCGGCGACGGCUUGCUGUUCCGAUUCAACCUCCUCCAUAGCGACUCGCUCCCGUCUCUCGCCUUUCCUCUCUUAUCGUUUCAGCUCCCGACCAUCCACCAAACAAGAAGUCCA